rnacentral:rRNA from 1 species
CCUACGGGAGGCAGCAGUGAGGAAUAUUGGUCAAUGGACGAAAGUCUGAACCAGCCAAGCCGCGUGAAGGAAGACGGCUCUAUGAGUUGUAAACUGCUUUUGUACGAGGGUAAACGCAGACACGCGUAUCUGUUUGAAAGUAACUUACGAAUAAGGAUCGGCUAACUCCGUGCCAGCAGCCGCGGUAAUACGGAGGAUUCAAGCGUUAUCCGGAUUUAUUGGGUUUAAGGGGUGCGUAGGCGGUCUGAUAAGUUAGAGGUGAAAUCCCGAGGCUCAACUUCGGAAUUGCCUUUGAUACUGUGCGGCUAGAGUGUAGUUGCGGUAGGCGGAAUGUAUGGUGUAGCGGUGAAAUGCUUAGAGAUCAUACAGAACCCCGAUUGCGAAGGCAGCUUACCAAGCUACUUCUGACGUUGAGGCACGAAAGCGUGGGUAGCAAACAGGAUUAGAUACCCCUGUAGUC